rnacentral:rRNA from 1 species
UGGUGGAGUGAUUUGUCUGGUUAAUUCCGUUAACGAACGAGACCUCAGCCUAUUAAAUAGUACUGCGUAUGGUAACAUAGGUAGAGACUUCUUAGAGGGACAGGUCGGGUUUACCGGCUGGAAGUUUGAGGCAAUAACA